GUGCUCGCUUCGGCAGCACAUAUACGAAAAUUGGAAUGGUACAGAGAAGAUUAGCAUGGCCCCUGCGCAAGGAUGACACGCAAAUUAGUGAAAAUGCCUACAUUUAA
ensembl:snRNA U6 U6 spliceosomal RNA